rnacentral:lncRNA from 1 species
CUGGAGUUCAGACGAGUGCUCUUUAUAAUUAAGUUCCACAUGUCUAACGAAAUAUUGUUGGUUGAACCAAUUGAGUCAACAGGUGAAUAACGACUGAUGGGAGAAAACAAUGUAAUCCAGAGUGAAAGUGAACCUAUUAUAAACAAUUAUACAGAAAAAAAAUAAAUAUUUUGUAAGAAAAGUUAUGUAGAAAGGACUGUAUAAUGGGGACAAAAAAAUUUUUUUUGUAUGUAGUUAAGGUUAAAC